AGUGAACGCUGGCGGUAGGCCUAACACAUGCAAGUCGAACGGCAGCACAGGAGAGCUUGCUCUCUGGGUGGCGAGUGGCGGACGGGUGAGGAAUACAUCGGAACCUACUUUUUCGUGGGGGAUAACGUAGGGAAACUUACGCUAAUACCGCAUACGACCUACGGGUGAAAGCAGGGGAUCUUCGGACCUUGCGCGAUUGAAUGAGCUGAUGUCGGAUUAGCUAGUUGGCGGGGUAAAGGCCCACCAAGGCGACGAUCCGUAGCUGGUCUGAGAGGAUGAUCAGCCACACUGGAACUGAGACACGGUCCAGACUCCUACGGGAGGCAGCAGUGGGGAAUAUUGGACAAUGGGCGCAAGCCUGAUCCAGCCAUACCGCGUGGGUGAAGAAGGCCUUCGGGUUGUAAAGCCCUUUUGUUGGGAAAGAAAUCCAGCUGGUUAAUACCCGGUUGGGAUGACGGUACCCAAAGAAUAAGCACCGGCUAACUUCGUGCCAGCAGCCGCCGUAA
rnacentral:rRNA from 1 species